UACGAAGGGGGCUAGCGUUGCUCGGAAUUACUGGGCGUAAAGCGUGCGCAGGCGGUUAUGUAAGACAGUUGUGAAAUCCCCGGGCUCAACCUGGGAACUGCAUCUGUGACUGCAUAGCUAGAGUACGGUAGAGGGGGAUGGAAUUCCGCGUGUAGCAGUGAAAUGCGUAGAUAUGCGGAGGAACACCGAUGGCGAAGGCAAUCCCCUGGACCUGUACUGACGCUCAUGCACGAAAGCGUGGGGAGCAAACAGG
rnacentral:rRNA from 1 species